rnacentral:lncRNA from 1 species
GAAAAGAAUAGAAAUGCCAAUCGCCAGAGGAAAGAAAGUAACAAUACAGAAAUGAAGGAAGUAGAAAAGCAGAAAGAUCAUAAUCAAACCCUGCUAACCAUGCAAGCACAUGAGAAAGUUUUCUCAGUUUGUAAGUCAUUUUUCCUUCUGGCCCAGAACUAAGGGUUUUUGCUUAAGCAUGUUUUAUGCCCUCAUUACGUUUUCUUAACAAGACCUCAAAAAGCAUUCUGAUCACCUGGAUACUUGAAUAACCAAUAGAGUUUGGCCUAUAUGAUCGUAAUUUUCAAUGUAUUUCAUGACACACUAAGAAAUAGACUUUAGGACUCACCGUUAUUUCAUGUGAAGAAAGAAAAAUACUGCCAUUUAAACUAUGCAAAGCCACUGAUAUUUUUUAGGACACAUCUUGAAUUCAGAGAUGUUAAAAUGUGAGAAACAAUGGGUCUUGGAAUCUAUGAGAUACUGUAAUGAGCUGGUGUUCCAAUGAGGGAAAGAUUCUACAGGUUCUGUUCUGAAGUCUGAGAUACUGUAUUUGUAGUUCAAAUAAAUACGAGAAAAGUUUUAUUAUUGUGUGAAUGACACUAACUCAGUAACUUUGGAGUUUGGCAUCAGAUUGAAAUGUCUUCUAUUUUCUAGAGCACUAUUUUUUAAAUUGACUUAAAAUUCAAUUUUAUUUUUUAACAAAUAGGCUGGAAUGGAAUAGAAUAUAAAGAUCAGAGUACACAUUUAGUGUGGACAAGAAAUUGCUUUGUGAAAUUUUUGUUUCAUUUGUGGGGAAGGAUAAGAGUGUGUCCUAUGUUGUGAUUUAAACUGUUUCUUAGUGUGAGUUGCAAUCAAAUAGAUUUGAAAAAGAAUGUUCUUGGAGCACAAAUAACAUGCAAAAUAUACCCUCUGGGCUCUGUUUCUCUGGUUCUUUUCCUUUACUCUGGGAACUAAAACUACAGAUCAGUAAAAUAAGGCAAAUCUCCUUGACAAUCCUCUCCUGCGUCAGCCCAAAUUUCUUCUAUUGGUUGUUGAAAAUAAACAGUCUUUUGUUGGAACGGAAAGCACCGUUCUGGAAGCAAGGUGGUGGUGGUUUACAGACUCUGCUAAUUAGAUGUGUGACUGGAUGAAUUACUCUGCAUAUCAAGCUCUGAUAAAAAGUAGGGAGUUGGGGGGGGCGCCUGGGUGGCUCAGUUGGUUAAAGCGUCCAACUCUUGGUUUUGGCACAGGUCUUGGUUUCAGCUCAGGUCAUGAUCUCACAGUUUGUGAGUUCAAGGCCUGCAUCGGGCUCCACACUGAUGGCUGAGAGUCUGCUUGGGAUUCUCUCUCUCCCCACCCCCCCCUCAAAUAAAUAAAUUAAUUUUUAAAAAAAGUAGGGAGUUGGACUAUAUGCUGUUUAACCAAUGUUAUUCAACCUUUUUUUUUUUUUCAGUGAAUGAUAUUCACAUUGGAAACAAACAGCCAGGAUUAUGCAAAUUAUUGUCUGACUACCUAUAACUCCUAUCAACCACACUCAAAAAAAAAAGUCAAUGCAAGUUCAUGAAAGUGAAGAUAUU